rnacentral:rRNA from 1 species
UUGAUGGCGACCGGCGCACGGGUGAGUAACACGUAUCCAACCUGCCGAUGACUCGGGGAUAGCCUUUCGAAAGAAAGAUUAAUACCCGAUGGCAUAGUUCUUCCGCAUGGUGGAACUAUUAAAGAAUUUCGGUCAUCGAUGGGGAUGCGUUCCAUUAGGUUGUUGGCGGGGUAACGGCCCACCAAGCCUUCGAUGGAUAGGGGUUCUGAGAGGAAGGUCCCCCACAUUGGAACUGAGACACGGUCCAAACUCCUACGGGAGGCAGCAGUGAGGAAUAUUGGUCAAUGGACGAGAGUCUGAACCAGCCAAGUAGCGUGAAGGAUGACUGCCCUAUGGGUUGUAAACUUCUUUUAUACGGGAAUAAAGUGAGGCACGUGUGCCUUUUUGUAUGUACCGUAUGAAUAAGGAUCGGCUAACUCCGUGCCAGCAGCCGCGGUAAUACGGAGGAUCCGAGCGUUAUCCGGAUUUAUUGGGUUUAAAGGGAGCGUAGGCGGACGCUUAAGUCAGUUGUGAAAGUUUGCGGCUCAACCGUAAAAUUGCAGUUGAUACUGGGUGUCUUGAGUACAGUAGAGGCAGGCGGAAUUCGUGGUGUAGCGGUGAAAUGCUUAGAUAUCACGAAGAACUCCGAUUGCGAAGGCAGCCUGCUGGACUGUAACUGACGCUGAUGCUCGAAAGUGUGGGUAUCAAACAGGAUUAGAUACCCUGGUAGUCCACACAGUAAACGAUGAAUACUCGCUGUUUGCGAUAUACAGUAAGCGGCCAAGCGAAAGCGUUAAGUAUUCCACCUGGGGAGUACGCCGGCA